rnacentral:rRNA from 1 species
GGGUUGUGAGGUUAAGUGACUAAGCGUACACGGUGGAUGCCUAGGCAGUCAGAGGCGAUGAAGGACGUGCUAAUCUGCGAUAAGCGUCGGUGAGCUGAUAUGAAGCAUUAUUAGCCGGCGAUGUCCGAAUGGGGAAACCCAGUGCAAUCCGUUGCACUAUCGUUAAGUGAAUCCAUAGCUUAACGAGGCGAACCAGGGGAACUGAAACAUCUAAGUACCCUGAGGAAAAGAAAUCAACCGAGAUUCCCCCAGUAGCGGCGAGCGAACGGGGAAGAGCCCAGAACCUGAAUCAGUUUGUGCAUUAGUGGAAGCGUCUGGAAAGUCGCGCGAUACAGGGUGAUAGCCCCGUACACGAAGGUGCACAGCUGUGAGUUCGAUGAGUAGGGCGGGACACGUGUUAUCCUGUCUGAAUAUGGGGGGACCAUCCUCCAAGGCUAAAUACUCCUGACUGACCGAUAGUGAACCAGUACCGUGAGGGAAAGGCGAAAAGAACCCCGGCGAGGGGAGUGAAAUAGAACCUGAAACCGUGUACGUACAAGCAGUGGGAGCAUCCUUUUGGGUGUGACUGCGUACCUUUUGUAUAAUGGGUCAGCGACUUAUAUUUUGUAGCAAGGUUAACCGAAUAGGGGAGCCGUAGGGAAACCGAGUCUUAACUGGGCGUCUAGUUGCAAGGUAUAGACCCGAAACCCGGUGAUCUAGCCAUGGGCAGGUUGAAGGUUGGGUAACACUAACUGGAGGACCGAACCGACUAAUGUUGAAAAAUUAGCGGAUGACUUGUGGCUGGGGGUGAAAGGCCAAUCAAACCGGGAGAUAGCUGGUUCUCCCCGAAAGCUAUUUAGGUAGCGCCUCGUGAACUCAUCUUCGGGGGUAGAGCACUGUUUCGGCUAGGGGGUCAUCCCGACUUACCAACCCGAUGCAAACUACGAAUACCGAAGAAUGUUAUCACGGGAGACACACGGCGGGUGCUAACGUCCGUCGUGAAGAGGGAAACAACCCAGACCGCCAGCUAAGGUCCCAAAGUCAUGGUUAAGUGGGAAACGAUGUGGGAAGGCACAGACAGCCAGGAUGUUGGCUUAGAAGCAGCCAUCAUUUAAAGAAAGCGUAAUAGCUCACUGGUCGAGUCGGCCUGCGCGGAAGAUGUAACGGGGCUAAACCAUGCACCGAAGCUGCGGCAGCGACGCUUAGGCGUUGUUGGGUAGGGGAGCGUUCUGUAAGCCGUUGAAGGUGGCCUGUGAGGGCUGCUGGAGGUAUCAGAAGUGCGAAUGCUGACAUAAGUAACGAUAAAGCGGGUGAAAAGCCCGCUCGCCGGAAGACCAAGGGUUCCUGUCCAACGUUAAUCGGGGCAGGGUAAGUCGACCCCUAAGGCGAGGCCGAAAGGCGUAGUCGAUGGGAAACAGGUUAAUAUUCCUGUACUUGGUGUUAUUGCGAAGGGGGGACGGAGAAGGCUAGACCGGCCGGGCGACGGUUGUCCCGGUUUAAGCGUGUAGGUGUGAUGACCUGGCAAAUCCGGUUAUCUUUAACACUGAGGCGUGAUGACGAGGCACUACGGUGCUGAAGUGGUUAAUGCCCUGCUUCCAGGAAAAGCCUCUAAGCUCCAGAUAACACUGAAUCGUACCCCAAACCGACACAGGUGGUCAGGUAGAGAAUACCAAGGCGCUUGAGAGAACUCGGGUGAAGGAACUAGGCAAAAUGGUGCCGUAACUUCGGGAGAAGGCACGCUGGCAUGUAGGUGAAGUCCCUCGCGGAUGGAGCCGAAGCCAGUCGAAGAUACCAGCUGGCUGCAACUGUUUAAUAAAAACACAGCACUCUGCAAACACGAAAGUGGACGUAUAGGGUGUGACGCCUGCCCGGUGCUGGAAGGUUAAUUGAUGGGGUCAGCCGCAAGGCGAAGCUCUUGAUCGAAGCCCCAGUAAACGGCGGCCGUAACUAUAACGGUCCUAAGGUAGCGAAAUUCCUUGUCGGGUAAGUUCCGACCUGCACGAAUGGCGUAAUGAUGGCCAGGCUGUCUCCACCCAAGACUCAGUGAAAUUGAACUCGCUGUGAAGAUGCAGUGUACCCGCGGCAAGACGGAAAGACCCCGUGAACCUUUACUAUAGCUUGACACUGAACAUUGAACCUUGAUGUGUAGGAUAGGUGGGAGGCUUUGAAGUGUGGACGCCAGUCUGCAUGGAGCCGACCUUGAAAUACCACCCUUUAAUGUUUGAUGUUCUAACCUGGUCCCGUGAUCCGGGAUAGGGACAGUGUCUGGUGGGUAGUUUGACUGGGGCGGUCUCCUCCCAAAGAGUAACGGAGGAGCACGAAGGUUAGCUAAUCCUGGUCGGACAUCAGGAGGUUAGUGCAAAGGCAUAAGCUAGCUUGACUGCGAGAGUGACGGCUCGAGCAGGUGCGAAAGCAGGUCUUAGUGAUCCGGUGGUUCUGAAUGGAAGGGCCAUCGCUCAACGGAUAAAAGGUACUCCGGGGAUAACAGGCUGAUACCGCCCAAGAGUUCAUAUCGACGGCGGUGUUUGGCACCUCGAUGUCGGCUCAUCACAUCCUGGGGCUGAAGUAGGUCCCAAGGGUAUGGCUGUUCGCCAUUUAAAGUGGUACGCGAGCUGGGUUUAGAACGUCGUGAGACAGUUCGGUCCCUAUCUGCCGUGGGCGUUGGAAGAUUGAGAGGGGCUGCUCCUAGUACGAGAGGACCGGAGUGGACGCACCGCUGGUGUUCGGGUUGUGAUGCCAAUUGCAUUGCCCGGUAGCUACGUGCGGAAAAGAUAAGCGCUGAAAGCAUCUAAGCGCGAAACUUGCCUCGAGAUGAGUCUUCCCUUGGACCUUGAGUCCACUGAAGGAACGUUUAAGACUAAGACGUUGAUAGGCUGGGUGUGUAAGCGUAGCGAUACGUUGAGCUAACCAGUACUAAUGAUCCGAGAGGCUUAACCUUACAACACCGAAGGUGUUUUAG